rnacentral:rRNA from 1 species
GUCCACGCCCUAACGAUGCGAACUGGACGUUGGGAGCAACUAGGCUCUCAGUGUCGAAGCUAACGCGUUAAGUUCGCCGCCUGGGAGUACGGUCGCAAGACUGAACUCAAAGGAAUUGACGGGCCCGCACAAGCGGUGGAGUAUGUGGUUUAAUUCGAUGCAACGCGCAGAACCUUACCUGGUCUUGACAUCCACGGAAUCUUGCAGAGAUGCGGGAGUGCCUUCGGGAACCGUGAGACAGGUGCUGCAUGGCUGUCGU